UAGGGAAUCUUCGGCAAUGGGGGGAACCCUGACCGAGCAACGCCGCGUGAGUGAAGAAGGUUUUCGGAUCGUAAAGCUCUGUUGUUAAGGAAGAACGAGUGUGAGAAUGGAAAGUUCAUGCUGUGACGGUACUUAACCAGAAAGGGACGGCUAACUACGUGCCAGCAGCCGCGGUAAUAUGUAGGUCCCGAGCGUUGUCCGGAUUUGUUGGGCGUAAAGCGAGCGCAGGCGGUUAGAAAAGUCUGAAGUGAAAGGCGGUGGCUCAACCAUUGUAGGUUUUGGAAACUGUUUAACUUGAGGGCAGAAGGGGAGAGUGGAAUUCCGUGUGUAGCGGUGAAAUGCGUAAGUAUAUGGAAGAACGCCGGUGGCGGAAGCGGCUCUCUGGUCUAUAACUGACGCUGAGGCUCGAAAGCGUGGGGAGCGAACAGG
rnacentral:rRNA from 1 species